rnacentral:rRNA from 1 species
GACGAACGCUGGCGGCGUGCCUAAUACAUGCAAGUUGAGCGCUGAAGGUUGGUACUUGUACCAACUGGAUGAGCAGCGAACGGGUGAGUAACGCGUGGGGAAUCUGCCUUUGAGCGGGGGACAACAUUUGGAAACGAAUGCUAAUACCGCAUAAAAACUUUAAACACAAGUUUUAAGUUUGAAAGAUGCAAUUGCAUCACUCAAAGAUGAUCCCGCGUUGUAUUAGCUAGUUGGUGAGGUAAAGGCUCACCAAGGCGAUGAUACAUAGCCGACCUGAGAGGGUGAUCGGCCACAUUGGGACUUAGACACAGCCCAAACUCCUACGGGAGGCAGCAGUAGGGAAUCUUCGGCAAUGGACGAAAGUCUGACCGAGCAACGCCGCGUGAGUGAAGAAGGUUUUCGGAUCGUAAAACUCUGUUGGUAGAGAAGAACGUUGGUGAGAGUGGAAAGCUCAUCAAGUGACGGUAACUACCCAGAAAGGGACGGCUAACUACGUG